UGCCCCAGUAACGGCGAGUGAAGCGGCAACAGCUCAAAUUUGAAAUCUGGCGCAAGCCCGAGUUGUAAUUUGCAGAGGAUGCUUCAGGGCAGCGACCGGUCUAAGUUCCUUGGAACAGGACGUCGUAGAGGGUGAGAAUCCCGUAUGCGACCGGUUGGCACCCGUCACGUAGCUCCUUCGACGAGUCGAGUUGUUUGGGAAUGCAGCUCUAAAUGGGAGGUAAAUUUCUUCUAAAGCUAAAUACCGGCCAGAGACCGAUAGCGCACAAGUAGAGUGAUCGAAAGAUGAAAAGCACUUUGGAAAGAGAGUUAAAAAGCACGUGAAAUUGUUGAAAGGGAAGCGCAUGCAACCAGACUUGUCGGCGGUGUUCCGCCGGUCUUCUGACCGGUCCACUCGCCGCCGGCAGGCCAGCAUCAUCUGGGCGCGCCGGACAAAGGCGCGGGGAAUGUAGCUCCUCGGAGUGUUAUAGCCCCGCGCACAAUACGGCGCCGCUCGGGUGAGGUCCGCGCUUCGGCUAGGAUGCUGGCGUAAUGGUUGUCUGCGGCCCGUCUUGAAACACGGACCAAGGAGUCUAACAUCUAUGCGAGUGUUCGGGUGUCAAACCCCUACGCGGAAUGAAAGUGAACGGAGGUGGGAAGCGCAAGCUGCACCAUCGACCGAUCCUGAUGUCUUCGGAUGGAUUUGAGUAAGAGCAUAGCUGUUGGGACCCGAAAGAUGGUGAACUAUGCCUGAAUAGGGUGAAGCCAGAGGAAACUCUGGUGGAGGCUCGCAGCGGUUCUGACGUGCAAAUCGAUCGUCAAAUUUGGGUAUAGGGGCGAAAGACUAAUCGAACCAUCUAGUA
rnacentral:rRNA from 1 species